CGUACUCAUAUGCUUGUCUCAAAGAUUAAGCCAUGCAUGUCUCAUUAUAACUGCCUCGCUGCGAAACUGCGAAUGGCUCAUUACCAACAGUCAUACUUUCCAUGUCAGUUCUUUACUACUUGCACCUCCACGGGAAUUCAACACCUAAUACCUGCGUCCAGACCCAACUUUGCGGAGACGGUUGCGCUUCUUACACAUUUAACCAUCCCGGACUUGCCCGGAUUCGAGGCGAUUGAUGGUAAUCUAACUAAUCUCACGCUUUGCGGCCAUGAAUCAUUCAAGUCUCUGACCUAUCAACUUCCGACGGUAGGGUAUUGUCCUACCGUGGCUUUGACGGGCUAACGGAUAAUUAUCGGUAUGAUUCCGGAAAGGGAGCCUGAGAAACAGCUACCACGUCAAAGGAAGGCGUCAGGCGCGCCAAUUACCCAAUCCUGACACAAGCAGGUAGUGACAAAAAAUACCGAUAUGAGGCUAUUUAGUCUUGUAAUUGGAAUGAGCACAAUUCACACAGCUGUUCGAGUAUCUAUU
rnacentral:rRNA from 1 species